GGAGUCUAGCAUGUGCGCGAGUCAUUGGGACACGUAGCUAAACCUAAAGGCGAAAUGAAAGUGAAGGCGCGCCUCGCGCGCGCCUAGGGAGGAUGGGCGACGUCCCGCGAGGGAGCACCGUCGCCCCGCACUCCCGGGGCGUCUCGUUCUCAUCGCGAGAAGAGGCGCACCCAGAGCGUACACGCUGGGACCCGAAAGAUGGUGAACUAUGCCUGGUCAGGACGAAGUCAGGGGAAACCCUGAUGGAGGUCCGUAGCGAUUCUGACGUGCAAAUCGAUCGUCGGAACUGGGUAUAGGGGCGAAAGACUAAUCGAACCAUCUAGUAGCUGGUUCCCUCCGAAGUUUCCCUCAGGAUAGCUGGCGCUCGUACAAACUUUUACGAGUCUCAUCCGGUAAAGCGAAUGAUUAGAGGCAUUGGGGUCGAAACGGCCUCAACCUAUUCUCAAACUUUAAAUGGGUGAGAUCUCCGGCUUGCUUGAACUACUGUUUUCAGUUGAAGCCGCGAGAUCGGAUCAGAGUGCCAAGUGGGCCAUUUUUGGUAAGCAGAACUGGCGCUGUGGGAUGAACCAAACGCGGAGUUAAAGCGCCUAAAUCGACGCUUAUGGGAUACCAUGAAAGGCGUUGGUAACUUAAGACAGCAGGACGGUGGCCAUGGAAGUC
rnacentral:rRNA from 1 species